rnacentral:tRNA from 1 species
GCGCUCAUAGCUCAGUGGAUAGAGCAAUGGUCUUCGGAACCAUCGGUCGGGGGUUCGAAUCCCUCUGGGCGCA